rnacentral:rRNA from 1 species
UACGUAGGUGACAAGCGUUAUCCGGAUUUAUUGGGCGUAAAGCGCACGCAGGCGGCCGCUCAAGUCUGACGUGAAAUCUCUCGGCUUAACCGGGAGCGGUCGUUGGAAACUGAGUCGCUUGAGGCGAUGAGAGGGGUGUGGAAUUCCCGGUGUAGUGGUGGAAUGCGUAGAUAUCGGGGGGAACAUCAGUGGCGAAAGCGGCACCCUGGCAUUAGCCUGACGCUCAUGUGCGAAAGCGUGGGGAGCGAACGGG